GAACCAGACUCCUACGGGAGGCAGCAGUGGGGAAUAUUGCACAAUGGGGGAAACCCUGAUGCAGCGACGCCGCGUGAGUGAAGAAGUAUUUCGGUACGUAAAGCUCUAUCAGCAGGGAAGAAAGAAAGUCCUUUGGACUUUGGACGGUACCUGACUAAGAAGCCCCGGCUAACUACGUGCCAGCAGCCGCGGUAAUACGUAGGGGGCAAGCGUUAUCCGGAUUUACUGGGUGUAAAGGGAGCGUAGACGGCUGUGCAAGUCUGGAGUGAAAGGCAUGGGCUCAACCUGUGGACUGCUUUGGAAACUGUGCAGCUUGAGUGUCGGAGAGGCAAGUGGAAUUCCUAGUGUAGCGGUGAAAUGCGUAGAUAUUAGGAGGAACACCAGUGGCGAAGGCGGCUUGCUGGACGAUGACUGACGUUGAGGCUCGAAAGCGUGGGGAGCAAACAGGAUUAGAUACCCGGGUAA
rnacentral:rRNA from 1 species